CCUCGGACCCUGACUGGUCCAAGGGGAGCGCUAGCGGCUUGGGUUCGGGUACUCGCUCCAGCGCCUCUAGCAUAGGUAGCAGCGCGGGUAGGAUUUCCAGCAAGCGCAGUAGGCGCAGGCGUCGGGGCACAGAUUCCUCCCUUGCCUCUACUUCCUCGGAGGGUCUGUCCUCCUCAGAUGGUGGCUUGCACAGGGUGAAGCGUCGUAGACGACGCGAGCGUCGGUAUUCCACCUCGUCCGCGUCCCAAGUAUCGGUGGAAUCGGACACCGUGCACUGCGCCAAUACAGCGGUACAACGUGGACUCAGGCCCCGGGUCCGGGACCGUAUCCGUAAGGGCCAAUAUGUGAACAUUUUUGCCCUUACCAGCGACGAUCGCAAAGCCCUGCUUUCGGCUAAGAAAAAGGGGCAGGGUAGCGAGGACGCUUUGCGGUCCUACCAGAAUUGGGUCCGCUGCAUGUUGAUCUUUGCGGCGUGUUACCUAGAGACACGCCCGGAUGAACAUAUGAACGUGGUGCGCUAUCAAUUUCUCAUACACGUUCUGUACCAUAAGUAUAAAGGGUCUGCCUGGCGGCGCUACGACGAGGAUUUCCGACGCAAACAACACGGCCGGCAGAUCUAUAAUUUUGGUAAAAAAGACGUGGAAUUGUGCUCUGAACUGACACAAGGUUCGGCCGCCCCUGAUGACGGCGGCACGGCAAGACGAUGGGCAAAAAAACCUGCCUCUCGUUCUGCCGGCUUUCGUGGAGGCGCAGGGCGCACGGGGCAUGGGAAAUGCUUCGCUUUUAAUAAUGCACAAUGCGACUUGGGGGGGGGGCGAUGUCGUUUUCGCCACUCCUGUAUCAGAUGUGGCGGGGGCCACGGGAUUAAGGAUUGCCCCAGUCCUGGGACCGGGAGUGCUUUUGGCUCGCAGCCCCGACAGAGUCGCGCUCCCGCGGCCACCGGCGCUAGCCACAGCUCCCUCCCCAAUUAGACUUUGCGCGCUCAUUCCCUGGCUGCGACGAUACCCGCGGUCGGGGGACGCCCAAUUUUUACACUUGGGUUUCGCGUCGGGUUUCCCCUUGCCGAUACAUGGACGGGUGGGUCCUGGGGCGGGUACUAACCUGCGUUCGGCUCGGGAGUUUCCGGACGUGCUCCGGCACAAGGUAGAGGCAGAGGUGGCCUUAGGGAGGAUGAUAGGCCCUUUCCGGGAACCCCCCUUGCCAGAUUUGGUCUUGUCCCCCGUAGGCGUAGUGCCCAAAAAGACAGCGGGCAAAUUUCGCCUCAUACAACACCUUUCCUGUCCUGUGGGGUCCUCGGUUAAUGACGCUAUCCCUGCUGACCAGUGUAGGGUCGUUUACCUGUCCUUUGAUUCGGCCAUUGACACCGUACGGUCUUUUGGCCCAGGGGCAGUUAUGUGUAAGUUGGACAUCCAGUCUGCGUUUCGUCUCCUUCCGCUGCACCCUUCCGCCUUCAGGUUUAUGGGUUUUAAGCUGGACGACGGCUACUACAUAGAUCGGUGCCUCCCUAUGGGUUGUUCCAUCUCUUGCGCCUACUUUGAGAGAUUCAGUUCCUUCCUCCACUGGUAUCUCCAGCAGGCAACGGGCGAACGGGGAAUUUCCCACUACUUAGACGAUUUUCUUUUUAUCGGCCCCUCAGACUCCCCUCGCUGCGUCAACCUGCUGCAGGGGGCUCUGGCCCUCUUUGCACGCUUCGGGGUUCCGGUUGCACCAGAAAAGACGGAGGGACCCUCCGCCUCCUUGGUUUACCUCGGGAUCCAGAUUGAUACGGUCGGGGGUCUCUGUAGGCUUCCUUCGGACAAGGUGUUGCGUUUACGUGACGGUAUCAUAUAUGCGCUGUCCGCGGGCAAGCUCACUCUCAAACAGGCCCAAUCCCUAUUGGGCCUGUUUAACUUUGCUUGCAAAGUGAUACCCAUGGGCAGGGUUUUCUGUAGAAAAUUGGAACGGGCCACCGUGGGGGUUAGACGCCCGCAUCAUUUCCUCAGGUUGUCCCUCGAAAUCCGUCGGGAUCUAAGCAUUUGGGACGAAUUUCUUGUUUGUUUCAACGGCACCUGCAUUUGGCAGGAGGCGAUCGUGUCUAGCCCGACCCUGGAGCUUUUCACGGACGCCUCCGGCGCUUUCGGGUUCGGCGCUUACUUUGCGGGUCGUUGGUGUGCCUCUCCUUGGCCGCAUGCCUGGCUUCGCAGGGGCCUCACUACGAACAUGCUGUUGCUGGAAAUUUUUCCUAUUCUGGUCGCUUUAGAAUUAUGGCGCGAUGCCCUGCGUAAUAAACAUGUUGUCUUCUGGUGCGACAAUCUGGGCGUGGUUUUUGCCAUCAACCGCCAAAAAUCCACGUCCUUGCCGGUAUUGCGGGUCAUUGCGCAGAUAGUCUUGUUAACCAUGUCCCUGGCGUGCGUAACGAAAUUGCAGAUGCCCUGUCACGCGGCGAUUUGCGGCGAUUUAGGCGCUUGGCUCCUGCAGCUCUCCUCCAUGGGGAAUUAUGUCCUGCUUCUGUGUGGCAGGUCAUCCACCUGGAUUGGAGGCGUUAGCCCACAGGUCAUUGGCCCCUGCAACUUUUGCGGCCUAUCGGGCCGCCUGGGAGCGGUGGUGUCGCUUCCUCCUGGAGAGAGGCCAGUGUGGUGUCGGCAGUAGCCAGCUUAUAGGAUCCAUUGUCCUACUGUCCGGAUUGGCUGAGCAGGACAUUUGCUGGGACAGUUGACUGAUGUCUCACAUCAGGAGCCCUCGGCCAGUCAGCGACGCAAUGCCGGAGAUGGUUGUAAAGAUUAUUGGAAGCAAAUACGUUCGAUAUCCUGUGGAUCAGGCUAAGCAAUGCCCAGUCAGAAAUAAUGAUGUAGGAAGCAGUGAGUCAGCAAUAAGGGUGAUCUUCAGUGGAAUCCAUGACGUAGACUCCUUCAGGCAG